CACCAAACAUCAUCGCUCGAGGCUUAUCACUCUGUAGUGAUACGUUUUGUUCCCAAAAGUGUGGUGUUUCCGUUUUUGGGAAUGCUGUGCAGACUUUACUUGUCAGCCAUGCAUUUUAUAACGAGAACGCUGAGCGCCCAUAGAAGCAGGCUGAUGGGAAACCCGUCUUCAAGCUUCACUGGCCAAAGUCUAAAGAGGGAACAUGCACAGUGAAGCCACUGAAGGAAGAUCCAACAUUCAACUAUGUGGAUGAACUGAUGGACCUGGGGUCCGUUUCACAAAGCAGGUUCAACAAACUCUGAGUCUAAUCCUGAACUCUGAGUUGAU